AUACGGAGGAUCCGAGCGUUAUCCGGAUUUAUUGGGUUUAAAGGGUGCGCAGGCGGCCAUUUAAGUCAGCGGUUAAAUCGUGGGGCUCAACCCCAUUCUGCCGUUGAUACUGGGUGGCUUGAUUGCGGUCGAGGUUGGCGGAAUUCGUUGUGUAGCGGUGAAAUGCAUAGAUAUGACGAAGAACACCGAUUGCGUAGGCAGCUGACCAGACCGCAAAUGACGCUCAUGCACGAAAGUGCGGGGAUCGAACAGGAUUAGAUACCCUGGUAGUCCGCACAGUAAACGAUGAAUACUUGUUUUCGGCGAUAUAAUGUCGGAGGCAAAGCGAAAGCGAUAAGUAUUCCACCUGGGGAGUACGCCGGCAACGGUGAAACUCAAAUGAGUUGACGGGG
rnacentral:rRNA from 1 species